rnacentral:rRNA from 1 species
CCUACGGGAGGCAGCAGUGAGGAAUAUUGGUCAAUGGUCGGGAGACUGAACCAGCCAAGCCGCGUGAGGGAUGAAGGUACAGAGUAUCGUAAACCUCUUUUGUCAGGGAACAAAGGCGGGGACGUGUCCCCGGAGGAGUGUACCUGAAGAAAAAGCAUCGGCUAACUCCGUGCCAGCAGCCGCGGUAAUACGGAGGAUGCGAGCGUUAUCCGGAUUUAUUGGGUUUAAAGGGUGCGCAGGCGGUCUGUUAAGUCAGCGGUCAAAGCCCGGGGCUCAACCCCGGCCCGCCGUUGAAACUGGCAGUCUCGAGUUGGAGAGAAGUAUGCGGAAUGCGCGGUGUAGCGGUGAAAUGCAUAGAUAUCGCGCAGAACUCCGAUUGCGAAGGCAGCAUGCCGGCUCCACACUGACGCUGAUGCACGAAAGCGUGGGGAUCAAACAGGAUUAGAUACCCUAGUAGUC